rnacentral:rRNA from 1 species
AGUGAACGCUGGCGGUAGGCCUAACACAUGCAAGUCGAACGGCAGCACAGUAAGAGCUUGCUCUUACGGGUGGCGAGUGGCGGACGGGUGAGGAAUACAUCGGAAUCUACUUUUUCGUGGGGGAUAACGUAGGGAGACUUACGCUAAUACCGCAUACGACCUACGGGUGAAAGCAGGGGAUCUUCGGACCUUGCGCGAUUGAAUGGGCCGAUGUCGGAUUAGCUAGUUGGCGGGGUAAAGGCCCACCAAGGCGACGAUCCGUAGCUGGUCUGAAAGGAUGAUCAGCCACACUGGAACUGAGACACGGUCCAGACUCCUACGGGAGGCAGCAGUGGGGAAUAUUGGACAAUGGGCGCAAGCCUGAUCCAGCCAUACCGCGUGGGUGAAGAAGGCCUUCGGGUUGUAAAGCCCUUUUGUUGGGAAAGAAAAGCAGCAGGUUAAUACCCCGCUGUUCUGACGGUACCCAAAGAAUAAGCACCGGCUAACUUCGUG